GGCCUAUCUGGGAUUUCUGACAAAAGACCGGCAGGGGUCACCCCUCUUUCGCCUCUGUCACUCCCCCAAACCAUCUGAUCAGGCCCCUGCGCCCCGUCUCCCAGGCCAACCUUUCCCAAGGCAUGCUGGGAUGCCACAAUGGCCGUCCGUCAGCCGAUUGGUUCCGCCCUAUUAACAGCUUGUAAUCUUCUCAUCUCUGUGGCCGAGGGCCCACAUUGACGCUACAACUGCUAACAGGAUAGACUGAUGGAGCGGACACAAGCGAACGAGACCCAUCACCUCCCCCCACCCCCCAUCACGUCCUCUUUCUCUGCCUCUUUGACACAUUCUGUCCAUUUUGCAUGAAUCGCCUGGCCUGUAUUGACUGUAUUGUUUUCACUUUGCACCUGUUUUGCCACAGGGAAAGACUGGGUGAAUAUAGCCGUUGGCAUCUGUUAAUUUCUCAUUAUUUUUCUGUUAUGCACAUCUUGAGCAGGGGCUGAUCGGGCCUCUUUGGGCUGGGCCGGGCUGUUUGUUUGGUGUUGUUGUUGUUGAGCAGUCUUGCCUCAAGGUGUUUUGUGCCGUGGGAGCAGUUGGUUGGAGCAAUGUGUGCAUUACGAGCGAGACGGAAGAAAUACGGACGGUCUGGUUAUGAAUAUUGAAAAUACACGUUCUAACUCCUCGCCGCCCAACUCUUUGCUGUGACCUUCCGCAUCAGGAGAAAGACUUUCUGGAAAGAGACACACAAACAGACUAUUGUUUCUUUUUUUUUCUUCCUCUUCUUCUUCUUCUGUUGUUUCUGUUUUUUUUCUUUUUCUUCUUCUUCUGUUGUCUCUGUUUUUUUUUCUUUCUUCUUCUUCUUCUUCUGUUUCAGUGCUCCAAAUGGAGCAGCAGAAUCUCUCCCAGCUGCAUUGUACAUGUCAUUUAGAAGAAAAAUCAAACAGACUUCGCGUUAAACAAACACAGAAAGCCAGGGUGGCCAAAAAUACAUUAAAACAGAUUUGUACUUUUCUGCUGUGGACUGCUUGUACCUGUCAUAAAAGGUAACUAAAGCUCACAACAGCAGUGUAUCAUAUUUCAUAUUUCAGUUUAGACAAAAGUGGCAC
ensembl:lncRNA